rnacentral:tRNA from 2 species
AAGGCUUUAAGUUAAAAAAACUGUUAACCUUCAAAGUUGGAAAUAUUAAUCAAAUUUUAAGUCUUA